AACCAGCACCUCAAGUGGUCAGGAUGAUUAUUGGGCCUAAAGCAUCCGUAGCCGGCUCUGUAAGUUUUCGGUUAAAUCUGUACGCUCAACGUACAGGCUGCCGGGAAUACUGCAGAGCUAGGGAGUGGGAGAGGUAGACGGUACUCGGUAGGAAGGGGUAACAUCCUUUGAUCUAUUGAUGACCACCUGUGGCGAAGGCGGUCUACCAGAACGCGUCCGACGGUGAGGGAUGAAAGCUGGGAGCAAACCGG
rnacentral:rRNA from 1 species